rnacentral:rRNA from 1 species
CGGACGGGUGAGUAACGCGUGAGAAUCUGGCCUCAGGUCCGGGACAACCACUGGAAACGGUGGCUAAUACCGGAUGUGCCUUAUGGUGAAAGAUUAAUUGCCUGAGGAUGAGCUCGCGCCUGAUUAGCUAGUUGGUGGGGUAAAAGCCUACCAAGGCUGCGAUCAGUAACUGGUCUGAGAGGAUGACCAGUCACACUGGGACUGAGACACGGCCCAGACUCCUACGGGAGGCAGCAGUGGGGAAUUUUCCGCAAUGGGCGAAAGCCUGACGGAGCAAUACCGCGUGAGGGAGGAAGGCUCUUGGGUUGUAAACCUCUUUUCUCAGGGAAGAACAAUGACGGUACCUGAGGAAUCAGCAUCGGCUAACUCCGUGCCAGCAGCCGCGGUAAUACGGAGGAUGCAAGCGUUAUCCGGAAUUAUUGGGCGUAAAGCGUCUGUAGGUGGACAUUCAAGUCUGCUGUCAAAGACCGGGGCUUAACCCUGGAAAGGCGGUGGAAACUGAAAGUCUAGAGUGCGGUAGGGGCAGAGGGAAUUCCCAGUGUAGCGGUGAAAUGCGUAGAGAUUGGGAAGAACACCGGUGGCGAAAGCGCUCUGCUGGGCCUGCACUGACACUAAGGGACGAAAGCUAGGGGAGCGAAUGGGAUUAGAUACCCCAGUAGUC